AUUGAACGCUGGCGGCAUGCCUUACACAUGCAAGUCGAACGGCAGCACGGGAGCAAUCCUGGUGGCGAGUGGCGAACGGGUGAGUAAUAUAUCGGAACGUGCCCAGUCGUGGGGGAUAACGUAGCGAAAGCUACGCUAAUACCGCAUACGAUCUACGGAUGAAAGCGGGGGAUCGCAAGACCUCGCGCGAUUGGAGCGGCCGAUAUCAGAUUAGGUAGUUGGUGAGGUAAAGGCUCACCAAGCCGACGAUCUGUAGCUGGUCUGAGAGGACGACCAGCCACACUGGGACUGAGACACGGCCCAGACUCCUACGGGAGGCAGCAGUGGGGAAUUUUGGACAAUGGUGAAAGACCUGAUCCAGCCAUGCCGCGUGUGUGAAGAAAGGUCUUCGGUA
rnacentral:rRNA from 1 species